GCAUAGGACUGACCAAGAUGGGAACAUCCUCCUUCAACAGCUGAAAAACAAGUUAGAUGACGUGAAGUUUCCUUAGGUUUUGCUGAAAGCUGGGAAGUAUCCCAAGAUUGAACAGAAAGUUCAAAGAGGUUCCAUGACCCUCAAAAUAAUUCAUUGCAACUGGAACUGACUAGCACACUUUACAAAUAUUUUCACCAUGCUUUCCACUAAUCACUGAUUGUGGUAAAGAUAUUUUUACGCAAUUUAGAAGUGUGGUAAAUACAAAUCUGACACUUAAUUUUGUAUGUUUUCUAAUGAGGCAUUGUGAAAGGAUGAAAAAAAUGAUAAUGUUAUGGAGUUAAUGGCCAAUUUACAAAAAUUACCAUUCUGA
rnacentral:lncRNA from 1 species